rnacentral:rRNA from 1 species
GGAUUCCCCUAGUAACUGCGAGUGAACCGGGAAAAGCUCAAAUUUUGAAUCUGGCGGUCYAAGGGCCGUCCGAGUUGUAAUCUAGAGAAGCGUCUUCCGCGCUGGACCGUGUAUAAGUUUCCUGGAAUGGAACGUCGUAGAGGGUGACAAUCCCGUCUUUGACACGGACUCCCAGUGCUAUGUGAUGCGCUCUCGACGAGUCGAGUUGUUUGGGAAUGCAGCUCAAAUAGGGUGGUAAAUUCCAUCUAAAGCUAAAUACAGGCGAGAGACCGAUAGCGAACAAGUACCGUGAGGGAAAGAUGAAAAGAACUUUGGAAAGAGAGUUAAACAGUACGUGAAAUUGCUGAAAGGGAAACGCUUGAUGUCAGUCGCAUCGUCCGGGGAUCAGCCUCGCUCUUUUGCUCGGCGUACUUCCUGGUCGAUGGGUCAGCAUCGGUUUCGACCGUCGGAAAAUGGCUCGAGGAACGUGGCACUCUUCGGGGUGUGUUAUAGCCUCSAGUCGAAUACGACGGUCGGGACCGAGGAACUCAGCACGACCUUCGGGUUCGGGGCUUCGGCUCACGUUCGCGUGCUUAGGAUGCUGGCAUAAUGGCUU